rnacentral:rRNA from 1 species
GAUGAACGCUGACAGAAUGCUUAACACAUGCAAGUCAACUGUGGCGGACGGGUGAGUAACGCGUAAAGAACUUGCCUCACAGUUAGGGACAACAUUUGGAAACGAAUGCUAAUACCUGAUACUGUGAGAGAGCUGUGCGUCCCAUUAGCUAGUUGGAGAGGUAACGGCUCACCAAGGCGAUGAUGGGUAGCCGGCCUGGGAGGGUGAUCGGCCACAAGGGGACUGGGACACGUGCAUUACGCCUACGGGAGGCAGCAGUGGGGAAUAUUGGACAAUGGGCCAAAGUCUGAUCAAGCAAUUCUGUGUGUACGAUGAAGUUUUCGGAAUGUAAAGUGCUUUCAGUUGGGAAGCGGUACCAGCAGAAGAAGUGACGGCUAAAUACGUGCCAGCAGCCGCGGUAAUAG